CAUACUUUGCCCUCGAGGUGUUGCUGAACAUCAUCUCCCAUUAGUCUCUGCACAUAUAUUGUAUUUAAUGAAAUCUGGGAUUUGUAAAGCCAUUAAAACCUGGGGAGAGUUUGAGAUUCCUGCUUUAAAGUGACACUUAAUAAACUGACUGCAAAAGCAUAAUGUGGUGUUUAUACUGUUAGGUGGUUCUAAAUUAAAUUCCACUUUUAUUUUGCUAUCUUUAUGUCAAAAUCAUGUGUCUUAAUAAUUAGCUAGUUUCACUUCCUCAUUAG